GGCUCAGGAUGAACGCUGGCGGUAUGCUUUACACAUGCAAGUCGUACGAGAGUUUUUAACUCUAGUGGCGGACGGGUGAGUAACACGUAAGAAUUUGCCUUUAGGAGGGGGACAACAACUGGAAACGGUUGCUAAUACCCCAUAUGCUUUCGAGUGAAAUGGAUUUUUCCGCCUGAAGAGAAGCUUGCGGCUGAUUAGCUUGUUGGUAAGGUAAUGGCUUACCAAGGCGACGAUCAGUAUCUGGUUUGAGAGGACGAUCAGACACACUGGAACUGAGACACGGUCCAGACUCCUACGGGAGGCAGCAGUGAGGAAUUUUCCGCAAUGGGCGAAAGCCUGACGGAGCAAUACCGCGUGAGGGAUGAAGGCCUAUGGGUUGUAAACCUCUUUUUUCAGGGAGGAAUUCAAUGACGUGUACCUGAAGAAUAAGCAUCGGCUAACUCCGUGCCAGCAGCCGCGGUAAGACGGGGGAUGCAAGUGUUAUCCGGAAUCACUGGGCGUAAAGCGUCUGUAGGUGGUUAAAUAAGUCAACUGUUAAAUCUUGAGGCUUAACUUCAAAAUCGCAGUCGAAACUGUUUGACUAGAGUAUAGUAGGGGUAAAGGGAAUUUCCAGUGGAGCGGUGAAAUGCGUAGAGAUUGGAAAGAACACCGAUGGCGAAGGCACUUUACUGGGCUAUUACUAACACUGAGAGACGAAAGCUAGGGUAGCAAAUGGGAUUAGAUACCCCAGUAGUCCUAGCUGUAAACAAUGGAUACUAGAUGUUGAACAGAUCGACCUGUGCAGUAUCAAAGCUAACGCGUUAAGUAUCCCGCCUGGGAAGUAUGCUCGCA
rnacentral:rRNA from 1 species